rnacentral:rRNA from 1 species
UUCCGGUUGAUCCUGCCGGACCCGACUGCUAUCAGAGUGGGACUAAGCCAUGCGAGUCAACAUAGCAAUAUGUGGCAUACGGCUCAGUAACACGUAGUCAACAUGCCCAGGGGACGUGGAUAACCUCGGGAAACUGAGGAUAAACCGCGAUAAGUCACUGCUUCUGGAAUGGGCAAUGACUUAAAUCUAUAUGGCCCCUGGAUUGGACUGCGGCCGAUCAGGCUGUUGGUGAGGUAAUGGCCCACCAAACCUGUAACCGGUACGGGCUCUGAGAGGAGGAGCCCGGAGAUGGGCACUGAGACAAGGGCCCAGGCCCUAUGGGGCGCAGCAGGCGCGAAACCUCUGCAAUAGGCGAAAGUCUGACAGGGUUACUCUGAGUGAUUUCCGUUAAGGAGAUCUUUUGGCACCUCUAAAAAUGGUGCAGAAUAAGGGGUGGGCAAGUCUGGUGUCAGCCGCCGCGGUAAUACCAGCACCCCGAGUGGUCGGGACGUUUAUUGGGCCUAAAGCAUCCGUAGCCGGUUCUGCAAGUCUUCCGUUAAAUCCACCUGCUUAACAGAUGGGCUGCGGAAGAUACUAUAGAGCUAGGAGGCGGGAGAGGCAAGCGGUACUCGAUGGGUAGGGGUAAAAUCCGCUGAUCCAUUGAAGACCACCAGUGGUGAAGGCGGCUUGCCAGAACGCGCUCGACGGUGAGGGAUGAAAGCUGGGGGAGCAAACCGGAUUAGAUACCCGGGUAGUCCCAG